CAGAAAUUGUGGAAACAUCCCUGGGCGUACGGUCCCGAUUAUCAGGAUCGAUGGUGCGAGGAGAGAUUUUCCAGGGCCCGCACGCACGCGUCGCGGCCGGGCCUGCAGAAGGAUGGCUGAGCUGCAUUACUCCACAGCCACGGUAUUCCAGGCAGUACUAGGCAUUGACCUAGACAUGGAGGAGAAGUCAGAGUGGGAAAACGAGGUGAUGGGGUAUACCAGCCUG